rnacentral:rRNA from 1 species
UCAUUAAGUUUGGGGACGUCUAGCGAGACUGCCACGUGAUAAACUAGGAGGAAGGUAGGGGAGUGACGUCAAAUACAUCAUGCCCCUUACUGACCUGGGCGUACAAACGUAGAUACAAUGGCUGGAACAAAGGGAUGCGAAGCAGUGAUGUGGAGCGAAACCCAUAAAAACAGUCUCAGUUCGGAUUGAAGUCUGCAACUCGACUUCAUGAAGUCGGAAUCGCUAGUAACCGCAGAUCAGCUACGUUGCGGUGAAUACGUUCCCGGGCCUU